rnacentral:rRNA from 1 species
CCUGAUGCAGCAACGCCGCGUGAGGGAUGACGGCCUUCGGGUUGUAAACCUCUUUUAGUAGGGAAGAAGCGAAAGUGACGGUACCUGCAGAAAAAGCACCGGCUAACUACGUGCCAGCAGCCGCGGUAAUACGUAGGGUGCAAGCGUUGUCCGGAAUUAUUGGGCGUAAAGAGCUCGUAGGCGGUUUGUCGCGUCUGCUGUGAAAUCUGGGGGCUCAACCCCCAGCCUGCAGUGGGUACGGGCAGACUAGAGUGCGGUAGGGGAGAUUGGAAUUCCUGGUGUAGCGGUGGAAUGCGCAGAUAUCAGGAGGAACACCGAUGGCGAAGGCAGAUCUCUGGGCCGUAACUGACGCUGAGGAGCGAAAGCAUGGGGAGCGAACAGGAUUAGAUACCCUGGUAGUCCAUGCCGUAAACGUUGGGAACUAGAUGUGGGGGCCAUUCCACGGUCUCCGUGUCGCAGCUAACGCAUUAAGUUCCCCGCCUGGGGAGUACGGCCGCAAGGCUAAAACUCAAAGGAAUUGACGGGGGCCCGCACAAGCGGCGGAGCAUGCGGAUUAAUUCGAUGCAACGCGAAGAACCUUACCAAGGCUUGACAUAUACCGGAAACGUCCAGAGAUGGUCGCCCCGCAAGGUC